rnacentral:rRNA from 1 species
UACAGGGGGUGCAAACGUUGCUCGGAAUCAUUGGGCGUAAAGCGCACGUAGGCGGUUCGUUAUGUCGGAUGUGAAAGCCCUUGGCUUAACCGAGGAAGUGCAUCCGAAACUGGCGAGCUAGAGUACGAAGGAGGAUCGCGGAAUUCCCGGUGUAGAGGUGAAAUUCGUAGAUAUCGGGAGGAACACCGGUGGCGAAGGCGGCGAUCUGGGUCGAUACUGACGCUGAGGUGCGAAAGCGUGGGGAGCAAACAGG